rnacentral:rRNA from 1 species
UAUUUAUUAGAUAACAGACCAAUAUUCCUCGUAUCUAUUGUGGUGACUCAUAGUAACUGAUCGGAUCGCAUGGCCUUGUGCCGCGACUAACCAUUCAAGUUUCUGACCCAUCAGCUUUCGAUGGUAGUGUAUUGGACUACCAUGGCUUUCACGGGUAACGGAGGAUUAGGGUUCGAUUCCGGAGAGGGAGCCUGAGAAACGGCUACCACAUCUAAGGAAGGCAGCAGGCGCGUAAAUUACCCAAUCCUGACUCAGGGAGGUAGUGACAAGAAAUAACGGGUCGGGGCAUUCGCCUCGGGAUUGCAAUGAAUCGAAUUUACACCCCUUAAUGAGGAUCAAUUGGAGGGCAAGUCUGGUGCCAGCAGCCGCGGUAAUUCCAGCUCCAAUAGCGUAUAUUAAAGUUGUUGCAGUUAAAAAGCUCGUAGUUUGAUUUCUGGACGGGCGCCAACACCCGCUUGUUUAGUGUGGAGGCGGCGCCCGCCCAUCCUUCUGUUAACGCCACCGGCAUUCAUUUGCUGGCGGCGGGCUCAGAUAUUUUACCUUGAGAAAAUUAGAGUGUUUCAGGCAGGCUUGCGC